rnacentral:tRNA from 4 species
UCCGGCGUAGCUCAAUCGGUAGAGCGGGUGGCUGUUAACCACUAGGCUGGGGGUUCGAGUCCCUCCGCCGGAGCCA